rnacentral:rRNA from 1 species
CUACGGGACGCUGCAGUGGGGAAUCUUGGACAAUGGGCGCAAGCCUGAUCCAGCCAUGCCGCGUGAGUGAAGAAGGUCUUCGGAUUGUAAAGCUCUUUUACCAGGGACGAUAAUGACGGUACCUGGAGAAUAAGCCCCGGCAAACUUCGUGCCAGCAGCCGCGGUAAUACGAAGGGGGCUAGCGUUGUUCGGAAUUACUGGGCGUAAAGCGCACGUAGGCGGGUCGUUAAGUCAGGGGUGAAAUCCCGGAGCUCAACUCCGGAACUGCCUUUGAUACUGGCGAUCUUGAGAUCGGAAGAGGUGAGUGGAAUUCCCAGUGUAGAGGUGAAAUUCGUAGAUAUUGGGAAGAACACCAAUGGCGAAGGCGGCUCACUGGUCCGAUACUGACGCUGAGGUGCGAAAGCGUGGGGAGCAAACAGGAUUAGAUACCCCCGUAGUC